rnacentral:rRNA from 1 species
AUGUGCAACACCAACAUUUGCGAGAAUCUCCUAAAGGUGAACUCCUUCCCUUUGAGCCAUCCUCAAAUAUGCAUAAUGGAUGGGUCACUCUUUCAUUGUUGUUUCCUUCUUCUUGUCUACAUGUUACAUCUAUUGGAUGGAGGACCGACAUUGGAGAUGGAACCCAUGAACCUUCAAGUUGAGGAGCGCUCGGACUUAUUGGAUGCACCUUCGAACCUCCACUCAUGCAACGACAUCGAGCAUUGGUACGCCAACACCUCCAUACUUGUUGAUUGUGCUCACCCAUGUCAUGCUCGAUGGACAUAUCAUACACAUGACAAAUUUGCAUCUUAUGCAUGGAUUGACUCACAUGAUGAUUGCCUUGUUGCAUCUUGUAUUCCCAUGUCAUCCAUGAUAUAUGAGCUUGUGCAUUUCCUUAGCAAAUUUGUUGUGAUAUUUCUUGAUGGCAUAUUCAUACAUCACGAUCAUAUUGCCUACCAUCACUUGCAUGAUAACUCAUUCAUAUUGAGCAUCCAUUACCAUAUUCAUGUUAUUGAGAAACCGUCUCACUAUGACAUCAUUUUGCACCGUGGUUGCAUUGAUCAUAUUCACAAAACAUUUGUGUGCAUAAUGAAUGUUUUUGCUCCCAUGAAUGCUUUGCAUACCAUUCCAUAUCUUUUGGAUAAGCUUCAUGCACCUUGUCUUGCUCACUCUUGUCGCACAGACUUAUGCUUACUUGAUGGACACCUUGUGUGCGCUAACCAUUGUAUUUCCGAGUGUCGCUUGUGUUUGCUCUUUUUGCAUGUAUACCACUACGGAGACACCUUGGGGUACUUGGAUUGCGCCAUGUCUUCAUCUCCGUCCAACUUCAAGUCUCUCCACGACAACCGUUUCCAUGGUGAUGACGAUCAUGAUCCGAGGUCGGAUCUUUCCCGAGGGGGAGGAGAUGAUGCGGAGCAUCCUAUGGACAUCACCAUGUCAAGAGCCACUUCGUCAAGUGACACGUGUGACAUCUACUUCAUGCUUACAAAGGUGAAUCGUCUACUUUACACGUGUCCACUUGUACCCUUCGAGGAUGGUAUACUACUUGACCCCUCUCUCGUGUGCAUGCAUAGGUGUGAGCGGAGCUACAUGUUCUUCGAGGAGGAACCCAAUCGGAAGAGUACAACUACACCAUCCACGAGGAGAACGCACGAAAGAAGGAAGCUCGCUGAGUCCAAGGAGAAGGACGGGAAGACCGCAAGGAAGACGGAGGCGAGUAGAUGGAAGAAGAAGCACGGUUCAGAGGACCCCGUGCGCACGGACCUUUUGGACCCCACGCGCACGGCCUAUCCAGAGAGUUUCUGGAUACCCCGUGCGCACGGGCCCCAAAAGACCCAAUGCCCACGGGGCUGA